AUAAACGCUAGCGGCAGGCCUAACACAUGCAAGUCGAGGGGCAGCGGAAGAAGUAGCUUGCUACUUCUGCCGGCGACCGGCGCACGGGUGCGUAACGCGUAUGCAACCUACCUUUAACAGGGGGAUAAUCCGAAGAAAUUUGGUCUAAUACCCCAUAAUAUUUCAGAAGGCAUCUUUUGAGGUUGAAAACUCCGGUGGUUAAAGAUGGGCAUGCGUUGUAUUAGCUAGAUGGUGAGGUAACGGCUCACCAUUGCGAUGAUACAUAGGGGGACUGAGAGGUUUUCCCCCCACACUGGUACUGAGACACGGACCAGACUCCUACGGGAGGCAGCAGUGAGGAAUAUUGGUCAAUGGACGCAAGUCUGAACCAGCCAUGCCGCGUGCAGGAUGAAGGUGCUAUGCAUUGUAAACUGCUUUUGUACGAGGGUAAAUUCAGAUACGUGUAUCUGUUUGAAAGUAUCGUACGAAUAAGGAUCGGCUAACUCCGUGCCAGCAGCCGCGGUAAUACGGAGGAUCCGAGCGUUAUCCGGAUUUAUUGGGUUUAAAGGGUGCGUAGGCGGUUUGAUAAGUUAGAGGUGAAAGCUCGAUGCUCAACAUCGAAAUUGCCUCUGAUACUGUCAGACUAGAGUGUAGUUGCGGAAGGCGGAAUGUGUGGUGUAGCGGUGAAAUGCUUAGAUAUCACACAGAACACCGAUUGCGAAGGCAGCUUUCCAAGCUAUUACUGACGCUGAGGCACGAAAGCGUGGGUAGCGAACAGGAUUAGAUACCCUGGUAGUCCACGCCGUAAACGAUGAUAACUCGUUGCCGGCGAUAUAGUGUCGGUGACUAAGCGAGAGCGAUAAGUUAUCCACCUGGGGAGUACGUUCGCAAGAAUGAAACUCAAAGGAAUUGACGGGGGCCCGCACAAGCAGUGGAGUAUGUGGAUUAAUUCGAAGCAACGCGAAGAACCUUACCAGGUCUUGACAUCGUAUGCAUAGCUCAGAGAUGAGUGAAAUCUCUUUGGAGACAUAUAGACAGGUGGUGCAUGGUUGUCGUCAGCUCGUGUCGUGAGAUGUUGGGUUAAGUCCCGCAACGAGCGCAACCCCUGUUUCUAGUUGCCAGCAUGUAAAGAUGGGAACUCUAGAAAGACUGCCGUAGAUAAUACGGAGGAAGGUGGGGAUGACGUCAAAUCAGCACGGCCCUUACGUCCGGGGCGACACACGUGUUACAAUGGUCGGUACAGAGGGUAGCUACCUGGUGACAGGAUGCCAAUCUCGAAAGCCGAUCUCAGUUCGGAUUGGAGGCUGAAACUCGCCUCCAUGAAGUUGGAUUCGCUAGUAAUCGCGCAUCAGCCAUGGCGCGGUGAAUACGUUCCCGGGCCUUGUACACACCGCCCGUCAAGCCAUGGGAGUUGGGGGUGCCUGAAGUACGUGACCGCAAGGAGCGUCCUAGGGCAAAACCGAUGACUGGGGCU
rnacentral:rRNA from 1 species